rnacentral:rRNA from 1 species
UGAGUAACCUGCCCUUCACUCUGGGAUAACUCCGGGAAACCGGGGCUAAUACUGGAUAUGACCUACUCGGGCAUCCGAUGUGGGUGGAAAGNUUUAUUGGUGGGGGAUGGACUCGCGGCCUACCAGCUUGUUGGUGAGGUAAUGGCUCACCAAGGCGACGACGGGUAGCUGGUCUGAGAGGACGACCAGCCACACUGGGACUGAGACACGGUCCAGACUCCCGUACGGGAGGCA